rnacentral:rRNA from 1 species
GACGAACCGUGCAAACGUUAUUCGGAAUCACUGGGCAUAAAGGGCGCGUAGGCGGCUUUCUAAGUCAGGGGUGAAAUCCGGCAGCUCAACUGUCGCAGUGCCUUUGAUACUGGAAAGCUCGAGGGAGGUAGGGGUCUGUGGAACUUCCGGUGUAGCGGUGAAAUGCGUAGAUAUCAGAAGGAACAUCAGUGGCGAAAGCGACCUCCUGGACCAAUACUGACACUCAAGUGCGAAAGCGUGGGGAGCAAACAGG